rnacentral:rRNA from 1 species
UGGGGAAUAUUGGACAAUGGGCGCAAGCCUGAUCCAGCCAUGCCGCGUGAGUGAAGAAGGCCCUCGGGUUGUAAAGCUCUUUUAUCCGGAAAGAAAAGCUUUCGGUUAAUACCCGGAAGUUCUGACGGUACCGGAAGAAUAAGCACCGGCUAACUUCGUGCCAGCAGCCGCGGUAAUACGAAGGGUGCAAGCGUUACUCGGAAUUACUGGGCGUAAAGCGUGCGUAGGUGGUUCGUUAAGUCUGAUGUGAAAGCCCUGGGCUCAACCUGGGAAUUGCAUUGGAUACUGGCGGGCUAGAGUGCGGUAGAGGAUGGCGGAAUUCCCGGUGUAGCAGUGAAAUGCGUAGAGAUCGGGAGGAACAUCCGUGGCGAAGGCGGCCAUCUGGACCAGCACUGACACUGAGGCACGAAAGCGUGGGGAGCAAACA